rnacentral:rRNA from 1 species
CAUUUAGUUGGGCACUCUAAGUUGACUGCCGGUGACAAACCGGAGGAAGGUGGGGAUGACGUCAAAUCAUCAUGCCCCUUAUGAUUUGGGCUACACACGUGCUACAAUGGACAAUACAAAGGGCAGCAAAACCGCGAGGUCAAGCAAAUCCCAUAAAGUUGUUCUCAGUUCGGAUUGUAGUCUGCAACUCGACUACAUGAAGCUGGAAUCGCUAGUAAUCGUAGAUCAGCAUGCUACGGUGAAUACGUUCC